rnacentral:rRNA from 1 species
UCUGACACAGGUGCUGCAUGGCUGUCGUCAGCUCGUGUCGUGAGAGUGUUGGGUUAAGUCCGUAACGAGCGCAACCCUUGUCCUUAGUUACCAGCACGUUAUGGUGGGCACUCUAAGGAGACUGCCGGUGACAAACCGGAGGAAGGUGGGGAUGACGUCAAGUCAUCAUGGCCCUUACGGCCUGGGCUACACACGUGCUACAAUGGUCGGUACAAAGGGUUGCCAAGCCGCGAGGUGGAGCUAAUCCCAUAAAACCGAUCGUAGUCCGGAUCGCAGUCUGCAACUCGACUGCGUGAAGUCGGAAUCGCUAGUAAUCGUGAAUCAGAAUGUCACGGUGAAUACGUUCCCGGGCCUU